ensembl:snoRNA
AGCCUCAUUCUAGAUGAAAAUGGGCACUGUUGUUCAUGGUGUCCAGAAAUUGUUAAUGUGGCUACAUUGAGAACACAGGUUUUGCUUCCAUCACAGUAAUUUUAUUGCAGUGGUGACAAUGAGACCUGUAACAUUU